UACGUAGGGUGCAAGCGUUAUCCGGAAUUAUUGGGCGUAAAGAGCUCGUAGGCGGUUUGUCGCGUCUGCUGUGAAAACCGGAGGCUCAACCUCCGGCCUGCAGUGGGUACGGGCAAACUAGAGUGCGGUAGGGGAGAUUGGAAUUCCUGGUGUAGCGGUGGAAUGCGCAGAUAUCAGGAGGAACACCGAUGGCGAAGGCAGGUCACUGGGCCGCAACUGACGCUGAGGAGCGAAAGCGUGGGGAGCGAACAGG
rnacentral:rRNA from 1 species